GGGCAAAGCCCUCUUCACAGAGCCCCAGCACAGCCAUGAUGUCACCAGGGAGGGUAACACUCGCAAGGGAGAAGUGGCGGAGGAGCAUGAGGCCACCGCCGGCCGCGACGUCGUUAUAUACUGUAAAAAAAAAAAACCCACCACGGGAGAUGACCCCUACUAGGUCCUGACCCUCCUCAUCACCGUCUCCACCUGGCUUGUCCUUAAGCUCUUCAGUGACCAUCACCCAGCAGCUGCUUACCAACAGAGUUCAGAUUUCCUGGGUGAGCUCAGGGAGAACUGGAGAGCUUUGGCCUGCAGGAGGAGGGUGACAAUCUGUCGGGUGAAGAGGAGCUGCCCUGAAGAGAAGACCCCAUCUGCCUCAGCCCUGCACCCUGGGACUGUUCUUCCCUUUGCUCUGGAUCUCGGGCUGCUCAGAGCUGCCCUUGGCAGAGGGAAUGUUCUCAGGCCCCGAGAGCUCUGGUGAUGCAGUUACUGCAUGUUUCUUCAAGGCAGAGCUGGCCAGGAGAGAGAAGUCGUGUUGGGAUCUGCAGGGCAGGGUCCUGCCAAGAUGCUUUAAUGGUACCCACUGGAGGAAACAAUCACUAAAUAACCUUUUGUACAAAGGUUUGAGCUUGUACCUUGCUGCCCUCCUGUUAGCAGCAGCCCAGUUACUGUACAGUGCCAGUCCAGUUGCCAGCCCUCGCCGUCACACCUCACCAGCGCUGCCUCUGCCCAUCGUGACCUCUGCUGCAGACUUUCUCUGGGUUUCCUUCCCUGUUCUGUCAGGGAGCAGCCAGGGCACUGCUGAGCAUGGGGGAUUUCUCCUUUCAGUCCUAC